AUCAAAUGCAGCUGUAGGUGUCACUGUGAAAUGUGGGCUGUUCUAGUGAUAAUGUAGUGGUGGGAGUGCAUAUACCAAAAAGUGCUUUUAUGUUUUCAUUUUUAACUAUGAAGUUGUUGCUGACUAUUCUGCGUCUCCCUCAUUUUUCUUCAAGUCUCAGGUCUUCUGCUUGUUUGCUUUUACCCAUACUGAAAGUUGUGCCCUGAAGCUGUCAGAAGUCAACAAAAUAUCUGUGAUGUGUCUUUCCCUCUCGGCUGUACAGGGAUGCUGCAAUCCCAUAACAAUAUGGAGAUGGAGAGUCUUCAGAAGAACAGAAAUGUGCUGGUGACAGACACUCAUCAAAGCCACUGAAGAUUUUAAUCAAGGCCUCCUUCCCUGGCUGAAGGCUAAAUAGUCCUUCUGUGACUUUUUGGGGAGGAAGACUUCAGUGCCCCUCCUGAAGAGCCUACACUUCCCAAAGAUCAUGAUACUGCUCAAAGCAAUAGCCCAUUGCUUCUCCAGCACUCUUGUACCACCUGCUCUGCCCAGCCUCGCUGGCUCCCAGUCCUUCCACCCCACAGGACACCAGCAAUGGCACGGGACAGCAGACUUUGUCUCAAGGGAUCUUCACCAGCCAGGAGCACCGGGGAGGCGCUGAGAAGGAUACCACAGUAAAUCCAGACAAAAGGCACUUGUUCAUCAAGUGAGAUAAUCAGAAACACAAGAAACAACGAGUGGUUCCCAUGGGAAGCACAACCACACCCUGCAAGGAUGGAGCAGCAGCCAAGCAGCGCAGCGGGAGCUCACCAUUGCAUGCCAUAGGCUUAGCCCUUGCAGGGCUUUUGAGCACCCUCUUUGAAGAUUUUGCCUUUUUUUUUUUUUUCCUCAGACUUCCUCCCCCACAAGGGCAAAAUAAAUUGUCAAGAGUUACAACAAAUAAUGAGAGAGAGAAAGUGUCACGUUAGCCCAAGCAGGACAGAAGUAGCAUGCUGUAAAAUACACACAUGUGCCUCAGCAGAAACUGCAAUGCCACAGCCCACAGUCAGGCUUUUUGUCAGCAGUCCCGGAGUGUAAGAGCUGUGUUGAGACGUGUUUCUAACAGACAUCCAUGACUCUAGCUUCCGCUGAUGUCCCAUGAAUGUUUUUCAGACUGACUCUUCAUGACCUUAUCUGGGGUCAAGGUUUUGGCAAGGUACCGGCGGUGAUUUUUUCUACUUUUUAGAUCUGCCUGUGUGAGACACUUUUAUCUCUUGUGAUUAAGGAAUUCUGAUGUGUUUUUUAAACUGAGGUUCUUUCUUCCUUUGUGCUUUUUAAAUGCCAGUUAAUCAGCACGGAAGAAUCUGCACAGCUGCACGCUGCUCCAUGGCUGGGAGUGUGACAUGAUCGAUGUCAGGUCGAAGAGACCCUUUCCAUGACCUCAAAAUCGCAAUCCAUAGCUGAAAUGGGGUGGGAGGCACUGGGCUCUCCAGGCUUCCAUGGGAUGGCUGCGCCAAAACCCGUCUGCAGGGUGGCUGGGCGCAGCCUGGCAGCCUUGGCUUUGCUGCCUGGGCAGAUGAGCAGCUCAUGCAGGACAUGCAGAAACUGUUCACAGCAACAGGCUGGGGUCCACGGCACUGCAAACCCAAUGUGACCACUCCUUCUCACUCUUACUGGUCUCUUGAGCUGGCAAGCUCUCUAGCACUCCUGCUUUAGGAUUGUGAAAAAAAAAAUCUCCCUGUCUUUCAGGACACCAAUGUGUAUUUUGGGUUUCUGGGGGACAUCCUCAGCAUAUUUUUCAUGUGUUCCUCAGUACCUUGCACCAACCAAACAGCCUAUUGCUGAGCGUCUCUUCUCCCCACUCUAUUUACCUUCCUAACUCUCCAGCAGCUUUCAUCUUCUAAGCACGCCCAAAAUAUAUUCGUAUAACCCCUCCUGUACUGUCCCUGUCUGCUAUUGCCCUGCAACAAGACUGACAAUUUUCUACAGAGCUGAGUUAGAGUCAACUGUAUCUAAAAGGCAAAAGUAAAUGGUAAUUAGAAACACCCUGCUGAAUAAAAAGAAUGUUAAAGCAUUAGGAUAAUUAAUGAAAUUUAAUCUUUUAUUUAUUCACCACUUUGCAUCCCUAAGGAUCUAUUGACACUGAGUUUCAGUUCAAGCCCUGUGAAGACUUUCUAAACAUCGUAGUGCCUUUUACAAUGAGCACUGUUACUAGAUAUUAUUGAAUUAUUUUUGGCAGCAAGCACCACACCCUCUGACAGAAAUAGCCCCUUCUCUGGCUGCUGCUGCUGUUACAUUUCGAAACACGUUCUCAUUUGGCAAAAUAUUCAAACCACUGGAACAGUCUGGCUUUUUCAUGGAAAGCUGGAACCGGGCGUUGGUACCACUCCUCUUUGAAAUGCAAAUAUAAACCUAUGCAGCAACUAAAGGCAGAACAACAGCCUGGAUUGAAAAGGAUUAAACCGUGCUUUG